AUGAGGACAAAAAGCUGCCGGUCCCGAUGGCUAAACUAUGGGGUGGUUACUUUGUUAGAUAAGGGUCAAGGGGCGGAUAGGAUUCAAAUGUAUAGACCUAUAUGCAUGCUCAAUGUCCCGUUUAAACUAUUUACCAAAGUCUUGAACAAUAGAGCUAUGGCUAUGGCUCACAAGACGGUUUCUAAGGUUGACUUCGAGAAAGCUUAUGACAAAAUUAAUUGGGACUUUAUGCUUAGACUGAGGCAGGGUGACCCGUUCUCCCCACUAUUGUUUAAUCUUGCUGCUGAUGUUCUUGCUACCCUGGUUCAAAGGGCACAAGAACAAGGGUUUAUUAAGGGUGUUUUGCCUAGAUUAUUUUUAUGGAAUGUGAUUUGUGGUUCGUUGGGUAACCCAAAAUUACCUUUAUCUUUCUUCGAUCUCUGUCAAAACUGGAUACCAGCCUAUUCUGAAAAAGGAGUGCAAAAAAUGCUUAGGGAGGUUUCCAAGAGGCUAUCUCAGACUCCUAUUUUCAUUUUGAAAAUGGGGCUAUGUGGCCCCUUUUAUCGAAAAAAGGUUGGCCUGUUUUGGCCGUCGCCCCCUGUCGCUUUCACCUGGGCCCGCCCGUAUCGUGCUACCUCUUCCCGUAGGGCGCCCUACCAGGCUACCGACGGUUGUUAA
rnacentral:rRNA from 1 species